AACCUACGGGAGGCAGCAGUAGGGAAUAUUGCUCAAUGGGGGAAACCCUGAAGCAGCAACGCCGCGUGGAGGAUGAAGGUUUUAGGAUUGUAAAAUUCUGUUAUAAGGGAAGAAAGGUGAUAGGAGGAAAUGACUAUCAAUUGACGGUACCUUAUGAGAAAGCCACGGCUAACUACGUGCCAGCAGCCGCGGUAAUACGUAGGUGGCAAGCGUUAUCCGGAAUUAUUGGGCGUAAAGAGCGCGCAGGUGGUUAAUUAAGUCUGAUGUGAAAGCCCACGGCUUAACCGUGGAGGGUCAUUGGAAAC
rnacentral:rRNA from 1 species